GGCCGUCUCUGGAGAGCAGCAGCCAUGGCCCUACGCUACCCUAUGGCCGUGGGCCUCAACAAGGGCCACAAAGUGACCAAGAACGUGAGCAAGCCCAGGCACAGCCGCCGCCGCGGGGUGAGUGCGGGGGCCGCGCGGAGGUUGUCGGGGGUUUCUUGGAGGGCGGAGGGCAUGGCUUGGGCAAAGGCUCUCGACCUGAAAGAACGCGCGUUCGGGCGCAGAACUAAGGGGGGCUUGAAUGGAAGAGAUGGGGCGGGGGAGUGGGACUUCCUGCCUGGUGCUCGAAGGCGGGCACCCAUCUGGGUUUUUCCUAACCGUGCAAUCCACGCUGGGGCAGAGGGAGCACCUUGAGAGCGGCGCGGGGCAGCGGGUUUGGGGUUCUGACGCAGGAGUAGGAGUUCGCUCAUGGAGCUGGCCCGAGGUUGCGGUGUGUGAGGUUGAGGGAUUUCAGGUGUGUCAGUGUAUUGGGCGCCAUUAUUCAGCGGGCAGCGGGUUUGGGGUUCUGACGCAGGAGUAAGGAGUUCGCUCAUGGAGCUGGCCCAAGGUUGAGGGAUUUCAGGUGUGUCAGUGUAUUGGGCGCCUUUAUUCAGCAGGCAGCCCAGGCUCCAGGUGCGUCCUGCCAGUGUUGCGGAGACUGGGACUUAGGGAGGAUGGGGGCUGCUCCGGGCGCGGUGAAAAGCGCUAGGCGUUAAUACCUUGGUUCUCACAGCUACCCACAGAGGGGAGGAAGUAGCCAGGGAAAUCGCGGCAGCGCGAGAGAAGCUGCUUAACUAGAAUGCAGGGAUCCCCCUAUCCUGACGGCCGCCCCUUUCCCCCCCAGCGUCUGACCAAACACACCAAGUUCGUGCGGGACAUGAUUCGGGAGGUGUGUGGCUUUGCCCCGUACGAGCGG
rnacentral:sRNA from 1 species